UACAGAGGUCUCAAGCGUUGUUCGGAUUCAUUGGGCGUAAAGGGUGCGUAGGUGGCGCUGUAAGUCGGGUGUGAAAUUUCGGAGCUUAACUCCGAAACUGCAUUCGAUACUGCGGUGCUUGAGGACUGGAGAGGAGACUGGAAUUCAUGGUGUAGCAGUGAAAUGCGUAGAUAUCAUUUGGAACGCCAAUGGUGAAAACAGGUAGCUGGGAGUGUGCUGACGCUGAGACACGAAAGCCAGGGGAGCAAACGGG
rnacentral:rRNA from 1 species